CCCUUGUCACGAGAAAAGAGCAGAGUGGAGAGGAGGGAGAUCGAGCGACCAGACUAGAUGAGGCAGCCGACAGCGACAAGGGAUUCUUUGACCUGGGUGCCCCUCCAUGGCGUGCGCUUCUACUUCGAUUCGUGCCCCCGACGCCAUGCCUGGUGCCCCCAAGGAAGGUCUCGUCUUCUCCUCAUCCAUUCUUUUUGCUCUCUCUCUCUCUCUCUGUCCCUCUCUCUCUCUUUCCUUGAUCUGGGCGGGGCUGUAGGUGGAACCUCUAGAUGUGGCCACUGCGGUUGGGACAGAAGGAAGCACGAGCUUGCUCUAGCUGGGAGAGGGCAGGAGGAGGAAGCGCGGGUGGAGGUUCGUGAGGAAGAUUGCUAGGAAAUGGAGUUCUUCCGUGUCCGCUAUUUGCUCUUUGCUCGGUGCAUUCAUGUUGAAUCUAGCAAGACGAGCACAAGUUGGAGAGCUGCCGUUUCUUUGGUCGCGGUGCCACUGAUUUUUCAUCCAAAGUUGCACACUCUCCAGCAUAGUAAUGGAUGUAAUUAGGGAUGUCUUAUAUUCAGCUACUUUGUGUUUAAUUGAUUUGUAAUAUAGUCUAGUUGCACCAUAUAUUGAUGUUUAGUUGGCUUGUAAUGUAAUCUAGUUGCACAUACAUUGAUAUUUAGUUGGCAACAAGACUAGUUGCACACACAUUGAUGUUUAGUUGACAGGAAGACUAGCCGCACACACAUUGAUGUUUAGUUGGCUUGUAAUGUAGUCUAGUUGCACAUACAUUGAUGUUUAGUUGACAGGACUCUAGUUGCACACAUAUAUGCGUAAUUGACGCGACAAUGUAGUCUAGUUACACACAAAUUGAU
rnacentral:lncRNA from 1 species